rnacentral:misc_RNA from 1 species
UCAUAUUCUUUCAGAACAUUUAAGUUAAGGAAAAGAAUGGAAUUGGCUUGAGAAAUAUUGUCCUGAAUAGCAGCAUCCAAUUCCUCAAUUGUUGUGGGCAUCUCAUAAAAUGCCUUUGCAAGUCCUGGAGUGAUAACAGCAAUUGAUUCUGCAUGCCUCUUGGCAGCUGAAAGUUGCUCUUGACGAUCAUCCACCUCCUUCUUGCCUUUGCAUCAAAUUCAAUGGAGGCCAUAAGUUUUUCAGCAAGACACCGUUUGUAUCUAGCAGCCUCAAUAAGUAAAUUCUUAAUAGCACUUGCAUGUUGGAGCUGCUGAAUCUUAAUUUUCACAGCCUCAUCUAUAAGCUUUGCCAUGCUGGUAUCCAGGUCAUCCUCCUUCUCCACUGAUUCAAGUUUCCUUUUCUUUUGAUCAAGUUGGUUCUCCAAUUCACGCCGUGUUCUCUUCUUAUUUUGUGCAACACUGAUAAGCUCCUCCCUUUGUUUUUGAAGAUUAGCUCCUUCAUUCUCUAAGUGCCUUUGCUCCAUCAGUAGCAAUUUAAAACUUUCUUCUAAAGCAUUAACAGAUUUUUCUAGCUCCUCUUUCCUACACCUCUGCUUUUCAAUUUCUCCAGCAUCUGAACCUAAUGUCAAACAAAAACUGACAGCUUAGAUAAUUCAGACAGCAUUUGGAUAAUAGUUGAUUUAGAGAAACUUCACAAGCACAUACUACAAAGUAGAAGACAUGAAUGAUACAGAUUCAACGCUUGCAGAUAAAUGACCACCAUAUCUAGAGGAAGACCAACAAUAGUAGUUCUCAGGAGUCCAGAAAUCAAAAAUAUUCAACUUUGCUACAUCAUCAGCCUUCUUAUCAGUUUCCUUCGACCCAAUAUACUGAUGAAAAUAAAUAAAUGUAAGAAUUAUGUGUAUCCAGAGGGGAAAAAGAAGUAAAAACAAAAUUACAAAGCUCCACAGAUGAGAUUUCUUUUUUAAUGACCCAAGCUUGCGAGGAUUUGACCCAUUGACAAAUAAUAAUAAAAUAAGUUUAGGAAGCAUACUGAUCUGUCCAGACCACAUUGGCUGAUCAAAACCUCCUUGACAGCAUCAGGAGCAUCAAAAACUUGGUCAAGUCGGGUAUAGAUGCCAAGCUCAUGCAUCUGCUCAACAAAGUGGCCAGAAAUCCAAAAUAAGAUAAUCUAACUUGUUAAGUGCAUCAUGCACUACAGGCACAAGUUGCAUAUACCUUCUAAGAAACUUGAAAGGGAUCCUUAAGAUGGUGUUCAUCCCUCACAUAGUUUAAAAUUGGAACAUCAAAUGACUUCAAGUUCCUUACUAAAAAGUCUCGAUCGCUAGGAUCUUGGGUUAUGAAGGACUUCCAGAUAUAAUAUGGGACGUGACCUUCUAAGUAGUCCGCAUGCACCCGAUCCGGAACAUUAACCUCAAGCAACACAGGACCAUAAACCUCCUUCUUCAACUCAUUUUUAUGUUGUUGCAACCACUGAUAAGCAUCAAUUAUUCUUUCAGCUCCAGAGUUUCUUAACGCCUGUAAAAGCUUAUAUUUUGUAUUCUCCAUAUCCUUCAGCCGGUCUAAGCAUUGCCUCAAUGCCAUUUUCUUUUGAUUUAGAAGCUUCUCCUUCUCUGACUUCUGUAUCCUCUUUUGAUUUGCAGAAAUUUGUAGCUCUGUAAUCUUAGAACCUAAUCUUUCAAGUACAUCCCUUGGAGGUUCAUAAUUAGGCAGGUUUUCAAGUUCUAUUUUAGCAGAAGCAAGUUCCUCCUUAGCUUUAAGGAUUCUCUGCUGACGGAAUUCUUCUUGCCUCUUCAAAUCUUCCAUUUCACUGUAUUUCCCCUCUAAUUGCACCCCCAAAUGGUUUUCCUUCUCCUGAAGUUCCAUACGUUGCUUAGCAUUGUCCUGUAUGAGAUUGGUGACUUUUUUACAUUUAGAAUCCAGCAGGCAUUUCUCCUGCUUUUGUUUUUCAAUGGGUUCUUUGAGAUCCUUCAAAGUUUUGGCAGCUUCAUCCAACUUCUUUUUGGCAUCCUUUUCCAGCUCUUUAGCUUCCAUAUAUUCAGCCUUUUUCAUGUCAUACUUCAGCCAUGGCAAUUUCUUUUUCAUGGAUUCAACCUUUGCCAGAAGUUCUUCUCUUUGGCGGACACGCUCUACAUCCUUUUCAAGUUCAGCAUUUAGGGCCUUCUCCUGAUCCAGGGUUUCUCCAUUCCUCAUAACAGCCACUUCAAUACUCUUUAGUUCACGGCUUUUUUCAACAAGUGCACGGUGUUGAAUAGGAAGUUGAGGAUCACCGACGGCCUUUUCAGUCUCUUCUAGAAGUUGAACAGGAGUCAACUUUGCAAACUCACAUACUCUGUCUUGUGGCAAGAAUUGAGUCAAAUUGUUGAUUUGGAUGUUGAACCUCUGAAUUACUUCAACUAUAUCUUUCUUAGGUACCACUUUUCCAUUGUACAACCAUUCCGACUUGUUAUGUGUAUCAAUUUUGCGCAUGAUGGUGAUCCGGUCAUCUUUAGUGGUUCCUCUCAAGGAUAUUUUAAUGUACCCAGCCUCCUCUCCACGUUUCACAUAUGCUCCAAUACUUGUUGCCCUUCCAAGCAGCUGAGGGUCACCACCAAGACCCAGCGCAAUGGCGCACACAAUGGAGCUCUUACCCGACCCAUUUGGUCCAAUUACAAGGUUCAAGCGUGGUCCUGGUUUGCAAAACAAGUAAUCAUAGGUCAUGAAGUUGCACAGCUCCAUCUCAAUUAUGUUCCCAGGCAGAUAGUCAUCAUUCCCUCGAACAAUUUUAGCACGUUUCGAGGUUAAUGGAGGGUCGUCAGCUGUUGAAGAUCGUUUCAUUGUCUCCGCUUGUUUCUUCACCAGAAUUUUGCAAUUCUCAGAUUCCAGUCAAAGUCUCUGCGUAAAACCCUAGACCCACAAGAGCUCAGCUAGGGUUUCACGCAGAGAGUACACACAGAGUC